rnacentral:pre_miRNA from 1 species
UUAGUUUAAAUCAUUGUAGGUUUAUACUUUGAAAAUAAAACUCACAUAAAAUAGUGGGAUAUAUUUUGAUUUCAUCCAA